AUGGUUGACAAAAUCUUGGAAAGUGAAACCAAGGAUAAGGGGGACUGCUUUAUUAAGAGCAAAAUCUUACAACAUAAUGUAUUACUUUAAGAGGUUGAAAUUAACCAUCAGGCUCCCUGAAAGGCAAAUGGAAUGCAUAAGUUAUGCCAUUAUUCAUAGAGAAGGUAAUAAGUAAAUUUGAAAUUCCAUACAAAGCAAAAAUACAAUGAGUGUGGGCACACUGUAGCUUUAAGAAAAGUGUUGACUGUUUCAGGUCACAAAGACACUAUUUAGAGUAUAGCAAGUGUGACCAUGUGUCCAACAGGCCACACAGUCAUGUGCCUACCCAGAGUGGGCAAUUCAUACUCUCCCACUGGAAGGAUGAAACCCAUUGUAUUAAAAGAGCUUAAAAGGUAUGUACCCUGAUAGUUUCAUUUGUAAGAAAAGUAAACAUUGCUGUCAGUUAUUAUCAGCAAGACAAAACAGGAGCACAGUGUCAAAUGUCAGUCUUUUUCUCCUUAAGAAAGAUAUAAAAAAAUCACACGAAUAGACAUCUUAGUUCUUGUUUCCUCCUACAAUUGAAUUGUUGGUGGGGGGGCGGGGCGAGGGAGACAUACAAGAAAUCUGUGAGAAAAAAAGGGGCAGGGGAAUAAGUCUCCUUGCCUCAAGAUUUUAGAAAAAAAGUUGUAACCUUUCUAUUGCAGAUAAGGCUCCCACAAUUUAUUUUUCCUGCUUCCAUAAGCAUAAAUAGUUAAUGAUAAAAAUGGUAAGAGGCAUUGACAAAGAGCUCCUAGAAUGUCUACAAAUUAAGGUGAGUGAUCAAACACAAGGUUAGGCCUAGACAGCUUAAGUGUCCUCCACAAAUCAGGAUAAGCGUUAACAGGACAUUAAUCUGGAAGCCUUUACUAGACUCUAAUUUGGAUAUAAUUUUACCUCACUAAAUUCCUCACCUUCAAUCAAAAUACCUUUCCCGCGUGCCCUUCAGAGUCCACGAAGUUGCUGCCAGAUCCCAGCUUAAAUCACUUUUCGCUUUCACAGAUCUCCCUCCUGGGCAAGGUGGUGGGGUGGAUAAUGAAGUGUGGCACCUGAUCUAAAAGGCCCCAGGAGGUUAGGAUAGGAAUUACCACUUCUCAGGUCUGUUAUCUUUUUCCGGAAGAGGGCAAGACCAGUAGAGAACUGACUCAGCGUCUCCAACAAGAGGAGAGCUGCACACAGACAAAACAGACCCGGGGGGUGAAAAGCGGAAGUAAACUGGUGUUUGUGGCACCACUGAUAGUAUUAUACCUUCUCUGACUUCUCCAAUAUUUUUUUUCCCCAAGUGACUCAAUCUUCUCACCCAAACUAGGCCAAAUGAGGGGUUAGUUGUUCGACUUCUUCUCAGAGUGCCUCUCUUCUUCCUCACACUCUCUACGCCUCCUCUCCGCACACGCCACUUCCCCCCCGACCCUAAAGUUAAGGGCUUACGCCCAACUAGCUCCUAAAGUCCGUGGCGAGCAGCUCCAGUCUAGGGGGGGUUGCCUAGAAGUAGGUCUGACGCCGAGCAAUCUAAUCUCCCACGUCUGAUCUCUCAGGCUAUUGUGCCUCGAGGGGAAGUCAGAACAGGUGAGGGCGGCUGGAGGGAACCAGUUCCGGGACAGGCAACGCACAAGGCGAAAGUGAGGGUGCGGGGCAAGGAACGGAGGGAGGGACAAAGGCGCGAUAAAGAACGAGGGCGCCCCCCGAGCGCCGCCUAUCUCCUCAGGAUCACCUUGCGCUGACCUAGUUACACGGAGAAGGAAGGAACCCCAGUCGACCAGGGAGGAGGGCGGGGCGGGAUGUGGGCGGGGUCGCUGGCGGGGCGGGGCUUAGAGUGGGAUCUUUAUGGGGCUCGCCUGUGAUUUGCAGAUGGAUUCGAGACGGAAGCGGGCUGGGAGGCGUCGGCGGCGGCAGCACACGUGGUGACGUGCGAGGGGGUGCGGCGCGAGCGGUCGGCGGCGGCGGAGGCAGUGUCUCCCGGUCGCGCGUGGAGGUCGGUCGCUCGGAGCUGCUGGGCGCAGUUUCUCAGCCUGCUGCUUCGGCGCGGCUGUGUCGGCGAGCGAGCGAGUUCCCGCGAGUUCUCGGUGGCGCUCCCCACUCCUCUCAGUCUCCACGGACUGGCCCCUCGUCCUUCUACUUGACUGCUCCCCCCUUCCGCCGCCUCCUGGCGCUUUCCGUUGGGCCGAUUCCCGCCGGCUUCCUCCUGCUUCCCAUCGAAGCUCUAGAGAUGAAUGUUUCCAUCUCUUCAGAGAUGAACCAGAUUAUGAUGCAUCAUUAUCACAGAAGAAAUUCCUGUCUAUAGCUUUUAAGGACUUGAUUACAUCAUUUUCAAGCCUGAUAGUUUUGGAAUCACCAUUAGAGCUUAAGACACAUCUGCCUUCAUUUCAACCACCUGUCUUCAUACCCUGACGAAGUGCGCCUUUUAACACUCCUUUGUCCUUGGAUUACUUAAGAGUUCCCAGAAAUACAUUUGCCACCAACAGAGUAGCCAAAUUUAUAAGGAAAAAUGAUUCCCAAUGGAUAUCUGAUGUUUGAGGAUGAAAAUUUUAUUGAGUCUUCUGUUGCCAAAUUAAAUGCCCUGAGGAAAAGUGGCCAGUUCUGUGAUGUUCGACUUCAGGUCUGUGGCCACGAAAUGUUAGCACACAGAGCAGUGCUAGCUUGCUGCAGUCCCUAUUUAUUUGAAAUCUUUAAUAGUGAUAGUGAUCCUCAUGGAAUUUCUCAUGUUAAAUUUGAUGAUCUCAAUCCAGAAGCUGUUGAAGUCUUGUUGAAUUAUGCCUACACUGCUCAGUUGAAAGCAGAUAAGGAAUUGGUAAAAGAUGUUUAUUCUGCAGCAAAAAAGCUGAAGAUGGAUCGAGUAAAGCAGGUUUGUGGUGAUUAUUUACUAUCUAGAAUGGAUGUUACCAGCUGCAUCUCUUACCGAAAUUUUGCAAGUUGUAUGGGAGACUCCCGUUUGUUGAAUAAGGUUGAUGCUUAUAUUCAGGAGCAUUUGUUACAAAUUUCGGAAGAGGAGGAGUUUCUUAAGCUUCCAAGGCUAAAGUUGGAGGUAAUGCUUGAAGAUAAUGUUUGCUUGCCCAGCAAUGGCAAAUUGUAUACAAAGGUAAUCAACUGGGUGCAGCGUAGCAUCUGGGAGAAUGGAGACAGUCUGGAAGAGCUGAUGGAAGAGGUUCAAACCUUGUACUACUCAGCUGAUCACAAGCUGCUUGAUGGGAACCUACUAGAUGGACAGGCUGAGGUGUUUGGCAGUGAUGAUGACCACAUUCAGUUUGUGCAGGUACACAUUGCACAGUCUGAGAAAAAGCCACCACGUGAGAAUGGCCAUAAGCAGAUAAGUAGCAGUUCAACUGGAUGUCUCUCUUCUCCAAAUGCUACAGUACAAAGCCCUAAGCAUGAGUGGAAAAUCGUUGCUUCAGAAAAGACUUCAAAUAACACUUACUUGUGCCUGGCUGUGCUGGAUGGUAUAUUCUGUGUCAUUUUUCUUCAUGGGAGAAACAGCCCACAGAGCUCACCAACAAGUACUCCAAAACUAAGUAAGAGUUUAAGCUUUGAGAUGCAACAAGAUGAGCUAAUCGAAAAGCCCAUGUCUCCUAUGCAGUACGCACGAUCUGGUCUGGGAACAGCAGAGAUGAAUGGCAAACUUAUAGCUGCAGGUGGCUAUAACAGAGAGGAAUGUCUUCGAACAGUCGAAUGCUAUGAUCCACAUACAGAUCACUGGUCCUUUCUUGCUCCCAUGAGAACACCAAGAGCCCGAUUUCAAAUGGCUGUACUCAUGGGCCAGCUCUAUGUGGUAGGUGGAUCAAAUGGCCACUCAGAUGACCUGAGUUGUGGAGAGAUGUAUGAUUCAAACAUAGAUGACUGGAUUCCUGUUCCAGAAUUGAGAACUAACCGUUGUAAUGCAGGAGUGUGUGCUCUGAAUGGAAAAUUAUACAUCGUUGGUGGCUCUGAUCCAUAUGGUCAAAAAGGACUGAAAAAUUGUGAUGUAUUUGAUCCUGUAACAAAGUUGUGGACAAGCUGUGCUCCUCUUAACAUUCGGAGACACCAGUCUGCAGUCUGUGAGCUUGGUGGUUAUUUGUACAUAAUCGGAGGUGCAGAAUCUUGGAAUUGUCUGAACACAGUAGAACGAUACAAUCCUGAAAAUAACACCUGGACUUUAAUUGCACCCAUGAAUGUGGCUAGGCGAGGAGCUGGAGUGGCUGUUCUUAAUGGAAAACUGUUUGUAUGUGGUGGCUUUGAUGGUUCUCAUGCCAUCAGUUGUGUGGAAAUGUAUGAUCCAACUAGAAAUGAAUGGAAGAUGAUGGGAAAUAUGACUUCACCAAGGAGCAAUGCUGGGAUUGCAACUGUAGGGAACACCAUUUAUGCAGUGGGAGGAUUCGAUGGCAAUGAAUUUCUGAAUACGGUGGAAGUCUAUAACCUUGAGUCAAAUGAAUGGAGCCCCUAUACAAAGAUUUUCUAGUUUUAACAAAUUUAAGACCCUCUCAAACUAACAGGCUUAGUGAUGUAAUUAUGAAGAUGAAGCACACAGGAACCUAAUGGGCCAACUGGGAUGAGAUGAAUAUUCAGUGAUGACUAUUCUGAGAUGACUAUUCAAUGGCUAACUUGGGUUAGGAAGAAAAUAAUUAGGUAUUUUCUCCAAAUGUUCACUGGUACUCUGCCACUUUAUUUCUCUCAUCUGUUACACAAAGAACCACCAGGAAAGGAAAUCAGUUUGGUUGCUAACUCUGUAAUUCCUAUCACUGGUUUGGUUCUGGACUAAAACUACAUUGACAGAUUGAAUUUGCCUAAUAUGAUGACUGUUUUUAAUAUGGAUCUGUAUGUGUUCUAUUCAGCACAAGGAAAUAAAAUUUUAGUUGAGGAUUCAGCACUAAA